UUAUAUGUUGAGUAUGAAAUUGUAACUCCCCCGAUUUCCAUCAUCAGGACCUCAAGAAUCAAUGCCAGUUUUACAUUGAAAAUUCAUACUUCCUAUAUUUUCCAAGUACUGACUACUUACAGAUUGAAUAGUUUCUUUGACAUUCUUAACAUAGUCUUUAUCUAUUAAUAAAUUAUUAUCAAAUUUCCAAAGACCAAACCUUCUCUUGCAGGGAUUAAAUUUUAAUUCAAAUAUAAUAAUAGAAAGAUGAAAUCUAUAUCCCGGCUUUAUGGUACACUAUCGGAAAUAAGAAAAUAGUCCAGACGACUUUGUUUUUAGGGGAUUUUUUUACGUCCUGUUUACACUUUUUUAAAUCUGGAUUUAGAACUCUCUAAUAAUCCAGGAGUUGUAAGUCCUCCAUUAUUUCUAGACUUAGGAUUAUUAAUACCACGAUAAUUUGGUGAAGAUUUGGAGUUAUUUGCAUUAAGAAGUGGAGGAAAAUGACAUUCUUCCCAUGGUGGUGAGGAAUAUGUCAUUGUGAUGAGGAACAUAACAUUCUUAUUAUGCUGAUGAGAAAUAAAUGUCAUUUUUACCAUGGUGAAAAUUUUAUAGAGAUAAUUUUUAUUAAGGAAUCAUGUUGAUGAAAUUUCGUCAGAAAUUAAUACACGUAUCAUUUAGGUUUAAGUCUGUCUUAGGCAUUUUAUACCUUGAGACUUUUAUUCCACCAAUGCCUUACGUGCUUAAGAGUAGAAACAUUAUAAAACAAUUUGAACAAGAAAAUAAAAACAAGCAUACAUACAAAAGUUACAUGUGUUGGAAGAUCACAUAAAAUUGCUUAAUAUUGACAUCAAUCUUGCAGGAUUUACUUAACUCAAUAGGAACACAAGUAUCAUGAAUAUUCAUGAAAUCAGAGGAAGCUAAUAAUAUAUUUCUAUUUUUGCAUUUUACCCCUUAUCUGCAGUACGUGAAAUCACCACUGAACAAAUAAAGAAACUGAUCACCCAGUUCUUAUAAAUCAAAACGCCAACAAAUUCUUUCACUUAAAAUUUACCAGCCUCAAUCGGGAGUUUGUGACUACUACAUCUAGAUUUGAGUACAUGAGAUCAACAGACAAAAUAUGGAAAUACUUUUAAAAGCCAGAUUUACUCUCUCUCUCUGUCUCUCUGUCUCUCUCUCUCUCUGUGUGUGUGCAUAAAUUCGCACUUGAAACAUGCACAUUUUUUAAACAACCGGUUGAGAGAAUUCUUAAACUAUUUCUGCACUUCCUAUCUUGUAUGUAAAAAGCAGUGAGGGGAAACAUCCCAAAAUGCAUGCUUGAUUGAAGAUGAUCCGACCUCUCCCCAAUGGGCCCAUGACGAAGUACUGGAUCUUCCAGAGAACCCGAAAUUCAUAGUUUGCCCUGAUGCAUUUCUAUGUUAUUAAGAAUAUAGAAAAAAUUACAAAUAUUACUGAGAAUACUGACAGUUAGAAGAGAAAGAACAAACGCUAUUCUAUCCUCGAAACGAAAUCCAUCCAAGUCAAUGAAAAAUUCAUCUCUUUCUUUCCCUUUUUCUUUUCUUCCAAUUUUAAUUUUUAUAUUUAUUUAUUUGCAGAUGGAUAUUCGCACAUACGCCUGGAUGCCCACUGGUUGAAACAUUUCAGACUGCAUUUGACUUUUCUAUUUGUUUUAUCUUUUACAAAUUGCAAUUUCAUCAUAAAAUUCCCUUAAUGUCUGUCAAAGUUCAGUAAUAUAACUUUUUACAACAGAUUCUCAGAUCAGUGUAAAGAGGAAGGAAGGAAGUGGAGAAUGGAAGGACAUCCAUUGAAUUGAAGUCUGUGUUGCUAAGGAUACCAUCGAGGCUCGGAACUCAACAGAAAGGAAUGCCACCUUUAUGAUGGCAAGGAGGAAAAAUGGCGACGAGGAGUAAAUCUAACAACGGCUUUUAAAUGAAACAGGUUCGGUGAAGUUAAAAAAAAAAUUACACCAGCGGUAGACCAGCGUGAGAACGUAUUCUUGUUGUCGAGUUUUUUGUUAAGUUGGAUAGUUAUUGCUAAAAGAUGAAAAGGUGAUGCUUCAAAAUUAUUUUGAAAUUGCAGACGGUGAAAGGAAUGGAAUUUAAAAUACAUUAAAAUAUUUUUUUGAACCCGUGUCCCGUUCGUAAAUAGAGCACCCUUGAUGCCGCUGCAUUGUCUGACUUCUGACAAACAAGCAGGAAAGCGUCCACACAAUAGGGCCAUUAUCACUUAACUGCACAAGUACAACACACCGGGGACAGAGAGCUGAUCUGCAGGCAUAUUCGGGAAACGUGUGUAUAAUCUUUGGGAGAUUUUUUUCAGAUAGAUAAACACAUAGUAAUCAAUAAGUUAAAAAAAAUGUCUGGUUCACUUCGCUGAAUGAUGCCAUGGUGAAGUAGCUUGUCGUAGAGAAAUUCAUUGAAGAAGAAAUCGUGACAAGAGAACAAACGGGUAGUUAAAUCUGGAGUGUCAAACUUAAAACCCAAGGUAAACAUUCUACAGAGAGAAACCUUUCAUUAUCUACAGUGUAGUAUUGGGUUUGAAUAUUUCAGCGAGACUAUGAGAAGUUUGAUUUAUGUAAGUGUAACCAGUUCUUGUAUAAAUGGCCAUACUAUCUUCUGUUACUGAAAUACAAAACUUAUGAAUUUAAUUCAACAAAUUAUAUAUAUUGGCAUUGCAAAGAUCAAA